rnacentral:rRNA from 1 species
AUUGAACGCUGGCGGCAUGCCCUACACAUGCAAGUCGAACGGCAGCACGGGAGCAAUCCUGGUGGCGAGUGGCGAACGGGUGAGUAAAGUAUCGGAACGUGCCCAGUCGUGGGGGAUAACGUAGCGAAAGUUACGCUAAUACCGCAUACGAUCUAUGGAUGAAAGCGGGGGAUCGCAAGACCCCGCGCGAUUGGAGCGGCCGAUAUCAGAUUAGGUAGUUGGUGGGGUAAAGGCUCACCAAGCCGACGAUCUGUAGCUGGUCUGAGAGGACGACCAGCCACACUGGGACUGAGACACGGCCCAGACUCCUACGGGAGGCAGCAGUGGGGAAUUUUGGACAAUGGGCGAAAGCCUGAUCCAGCCAUGCCGCGUGCAGGAUGAAGGCCUUCGGGUUGUAAACUGCUUUUGUACGGAACGAAAAGGUUUGGCCUAAUAAGCUGAGCUCAUGACGGUACCGUAAGAAUAAGCACCGGCUAACUACGUGCCAGCAGCCGCCGUAAAAC